rnacentral:rRNA from 2 species
GAGCGAACUUUUGGGAGCUUGCUCCCAAAAGUUAGCGGCGGACGGGUGAGUAACACGUGGGCAACCUGCCUAUAAGACUGGGAUAACUUCGGGAAACCGGAGCUAAUACCGGAUAACAUAUGAGACCACAUGGUCUCAUAUUAAAAGAUGGCUUUUAGCUAUCACUUAUAGAUGGGCCCGCGGCGCAUUAGCUAGUUGGUGAGGUAAUGGCUCACCAAGGCGACGAUGCGUAGCCGACCUGAGAGGGUGAUCGGCCACACUGGGACUGAGACACGGCCCAGACUCCUACGGGAGGCAGCAGUAGGGAAUCUUCCGCAAUGGACGAAAGUCUGACGGAGCAACGCCGCGUGAGCGAAGAAGGUCUUCGGAUCGUAAAGCUCUGUUGUUAGGGAAGAACAAGUACCGUUCAAAUAGGGCGGUACCUUGACGGUACCUAACCAGAAAGCCACGGCUAACUACGUGCCAGCAGCCGCGGUAAUACGUAGGUGGCAAGCGUUAUCCGGAAUUAUUGGGCGUAAAGCGCGCGCAGGCGGUCCUUUAAGUCUGAUGUGAAAGCCCACGGCUCAACCGUGGAGGGUCAUUGGAAACUGGGGGACUUGAGUGCAGAAGAGGAGAGCGGAAUUCCACGUGUAGCGGUGAAAUGCGUAGAGAUGUGGAGGAACACCAGUGGCGAAGGCGGCUCUCUGGUCUGUAACUGACGCUGAGGCGCGAAAGCGUGGG